CCUACGGGGGGCUGCAGUGAGGAAUAUUGGUCAAUGGGCGGAAGCCUGAACCAGCCAUGCCGCGUGCAGGAAGACGGCCCUACGGGUUGUAAACUGCUUUUCCGGGGGAAGAAUAAGGCCCAUGCGUGGGCCGAUGCCGGUACCCCGGGAAUAAGGAUCGGCUAACUCCGUGCCAGCAGCCGCGGUAAUACGGAGGAUCCGGGCGUUAUCCGGAUUUACUGGGUUGAAGGGGUGCGUUGGCGGCCGCUUAGAAGUACGGGGGCUCAACCUUCGAACGGCCGUUGAUACUGGGCGCCUUGGAUUCGGUCGAGGCGGGCGGAAUGCGACAUGUAGCGGUGAAAUGCUUAGAUAUGUCGCAGAACGCCGAUUGCGAAGGCAGCUCGCCAGGCCGAGAUUGACGCUGAGGCACGAAAGCGUGGGGAUCGAACAGGAUUAGAUACCCGUGUAGUC
rnacentral:rRNA from 1 species